CGGACGGGUGAGUAAUGUCUGGGAAACUGCCUGAUGGAGGGGGAUAACUACUGGAAACGGUAGCUAAUACCGCAUAAUGUCGCAAGACCAAAGAGGGGGACCUUCGGGCCUCUUGCCAUCGGAUGUGCCUAGAUGGGAUUAGCUAGUAGGUGGGGUAACGGCUCACCUAGGCGACGAUCCCUAGCUGGUCUGAGAGGAUGACCAGCCACACUGGAACUGAGACACGGUCCAG
rnacentral:rRNA from 1 species